rnacentral:rRNA from 1 species
GAUGAACGCUAGCGACAGGCCUAACACAUGCAAGUCGAGGGGCAGCACAUGAGUAGCAAUACGAUGGUGGCGACCGGCGCACGGGUGAGUAACACGUAUGCAACCUGCCUGUAAGAGGGGGAUAACCCGGAGAAAUUCGGACUAAUACCGCAUAAUACCACGAGACUGCAUGGUUUUGUGGUUAAACAUUUAUGGCUUACAGAUGGGCAUGCGUAUGAUUAGAUAGUUGGUAGGGUAACGGCCUACCAAGUCUACGAUCAUUAGGGGUUCUGAGAGGAAGGUCCCCCACACUGGUACUGAGACACGGACCAGACUCCUACGGGAGGCAGCAGUGAGGAAUAUUGGUCAAUGGGCGAGAGCCUGAACCAGCCAAGUCGCGUGAAGGAAGAAGGUUCUAUGGAUUGUAAACUUCUUUUGCAGGGGAAUAAAGGACGGUACGUGUACUGUUUUGUAUGUACCUUGCGAAUAAGGAUCGGCUAACUCCGUGCCAGCAGCCGC